GUCUUUUUGAAUUUUAUUUAAAGUUUGACCUGCCCACUGAUAAAUUAAAUGGCCGCAGUAUUUUAACUGUGCAAAGGUAGCAUAAUCAUUAGUCUUUUAAUUGAAGGCUUGUAUGAAAGGUUGGACGAAAUAUAAACUGUUUCAUUAUAAUUUUAUAUAAAAUUUUAUUUUUUAAUUAAAAAGUUAAAAUAUUUUUAAAAGACGAGAAGACCCUAUAGAUCUUAAUAAUUGUAAUUAUUAUAAUUAUAUAAAAAAUUAAAAUUAUUAUAGUUAUAAUUAUUUUAUUGGGGUGAUAUUAAAAUUUAAUAAACUUUUAAUUUUUUAUUCCAUUAAUUUAUGAAAAAUUUGAUCCAUUUAUUAAUGAUUAAAAAUUUAAGUUACCUUAGGGAUAACAGCGUAAUUUUUUUAGAGAGUUCUUAUCGAUAAAAAAGAUUGCGACCUCGAUGUUGAAUUAAGAUAAAUUUUAGGUGCAGAAAUUUAAAUUUUAAGUCUGUUCGACUUUUAAAUUCUU
rnacentral:rRNA from 1 species